AUUGAACGCUGGCGGCAUGCCUUACACAUGUAAGUCGAACGGCAGCACGGGUGCUUGCCCCUGGUGGCGAGUGGCGAACGGGUGAGUAAUACAUCGGAACAUGUCCUGUAGUGGGGGAUAGCCCGGCGAAAGCCGGAUUAAUACCGCAUACGAUCUACGGAUGAAAGCGGGGGACCUUCGGGCCUCGCGCUAUAGGGUUGGCCGAUGGCUGAUUAGCUAGUUGGUGGGGUAAAGGCCUACCAAGGCGACGAUCAGUAGCUGGUCUGAGAGGACGACCAGCCACACUGGGACUGAGACACGGCCCAGACUCCUACGGGCGGCAGCAGUGGGGAAUUUUGGACAAUGGGCGAAAGCCUGAUCCAGCAAUGCCGCGUGUGUGAAGAAGGCCUUCGGGUUGUAAAGCACUUUUGUCCGGAAAGAAAUCCUUGGCCCUAAUACGGUCGGGGGAUGACGGUACCGGAAGAAUAAGCACCGGCUAACUACG
rnacentral:rRNA from 1 species